rnacentral:other from 1 species
GUUACAGACGGACCCAUGGGCGGUUGAAGC